UUCGUACUCCCUCCGUUCCGAAUUACUUGUCGCAGAAAUGGAUGUAUCUAGAACUAAAAAAUGUCUAGAUACAUCCAUUUUUACGACAAGUAAUUUCGAACGGAGGGAGUAGAUG
rnacentral:pre_miRNA from 1 species